CACCAUAGGUACUGCAAAGAGAAAGUAGAGGCCAGACAUACUGGUUUAUCUGUCUCAUUCUGGAAGUGACACACCAUCCAUUAGCCACAUAUAUUCAAGUGGUUUCAAAUUAAUAUCAAAGGAUGUUGGGAAUGUAAAGGGACACUAAAAUAUUUGAUUGUGCCAGCAACUACUGGGGCUAUGAACAUCCCUACUCUUACUUAAAACAAAAUGGAAUUUUCAUUUUCUCAGUAACUCAAAGAUUCCAAAUUGACUGCUAUCUAUCUAUCCGCCUUGAUGUGAAAUGAGAUUUGGAACCAUAAAUAAAUAUGAACCUUGUGCUCUGUUAGGAUUUGGGGGGACUGUCAAUGCCAUGUCACACUGCUGCAAAAUCCUCAAAACCAGGAAGAUUUUCAAAGG